rnacentral:tRNA from 1 species
GCACCCGUAGCUCAGCCUGGAUAGAGCAAAUGGUUUCUAACCAUUAGGUCGCACGUUCAAAUCGUGUCGGGUGCG